AAAUCACCAAGAGAAAAAGGAGAGAAAGUUCUUGGUUCAUAAAUCUUCAAAACUUGAUUUCUUCUGAACUAAAACUCAAAUCAAAACUCCGAUUUCACCAAAAUGAUCCUCUCUUCUUCCUCUACAAAACCAUGUGAAUUAUCAAGGCUGGAAAUAAGGAGGAAAAAGUGCUUAAGGACCACCUGAAAGUUUGAUUGAAUUAGGAGCAGCAAAACCAGGUAGCAUUCGGAUGGAUUUGAUGGAGUUUUAUAGAAGCAGAGGAAGAAAGUGGAUGAUGUUGUCAACUCUGACCUCCUUGCACUCUAAUAGACAUAACUUGAGCUACAGAGGUCUAAUUGAUGCGGUUUUAGCAGCAUUGAAAAGCUAACUUUUAUAUCUUUCCAACAAUAUAUAAUAAUAUACACUUCUUUUUCAAUUUGUACGGCCAUGUUGGCACCUAACUUGGAAUUUCCCAAGUUAAGCGCCGGAGGAAGACAAGCACGCAUAAUCCAUUCGGCCAUAUUGGCGCCUAACUUGGCUUUUCCCAAGUUAGGCGCCAGAAGAAGGGCUUGUGCUUAAAAAUC